AAAAAAUUUAAUUUAUGUUUAGAAAUUUAUUUUAUAAUUGUUAGUAUAAAUAAAUUUUUAUAAAAUUAAAAAAUUUAAAUAAUUUUUUAAAAAUUAAUUUAUAUUUAUAAUGAAAUUAAUUAAGAAAUUAAAUUUAGUAAUUUAUAUAAAAAUAAUGAUAAAUUUUAGUGCCAGCAAUAGCGGUUAAACUAAAUGUUAUAAGUAAAUUUAAUUAAUUAGAAUUAAGAGAGGAUGGAAAUUGAUAAAUUUAAUAUUAAUAGUUUUUUAUAUGGUGAAAUAUGUAAUAAACUUAAAAUAUUAAGAUAUUAAAUAAUUUUGAUAUAAUAAAAUUAAAAAAAAAAACUAGGAUUAGAGACCCUAUUAUUAUGGAAUAAAGUAGGAUAAUUGGAAAAUAAAUGUAAAUCAUUAAAAUUUAAAUAAUUUGGCGGUAUUUUAAAAAGUUAGAGGAAUUUGUCUUAUAAAUGAUAAUCCACGAUAGGAAGGUCUUAAUAAAAAUUUUAUAUAUUGUUGUUUAAAAAUUAUUUUAGGAAAAUUAUAAUUAUAAAAUUUAAUAAAAAAUUUGAAUUCAAAUCAAAAUGUAGAAUUAUUAAGUAAAGAUGAGUUAUAUUUUAAUAUAUAAAAGAAUAUUUUAAAAGUUUUAAAUAUUUUGAAUAUAAAGGAUUUAAUAGUAAAUUUAAUAAAUUUGUUAGGUUGAAAAUUAAAUAAAAUAUGUACAAAUUGCCCGUCAUUUUCAUAAAUAAAUAGUUGAAAAAAGUCGUAACAAAGUAAAUGUACAGGAAUGUGUAUUUAGAU
rnacentral:ncRNA from 1 species